rnacentral:rRNA from 1 species
UUGAACGCUGGCGGCAUGCCUUACACAUGCAAGUCGAACGGUAACGGGCCUUCGGGUGCCGACGAGUGGCGAACGGGUGAGUAAUACAUCGGAACGUGCCCGAUCGUGGGGGAUAACGAGGCGAAAGCUUUGCUAAUACCGCAUACGAUCUACGGAUGAAAGCAGGGGACGCAAGGCCUUGCGCGGACGGAGCGGCCGAUGGCAGAUUAGGUAGUUGGUGGGAUAAAAGCUUACCAAGCCGACGAUCUGUAGCUGGUCUGAGAGGAUGAUCAGCCACACUGGGAAUGAGAAACGGCCCAGAAUCCUAAGGGAGGCAGCAGUGGGGAAUUUUGGACAAUGGGCGCAAGCCUGAUCCAGCCAUGCCGCGUGCAGGAUGAAGGCCUUCGGGUUGUAAACUGCUUUUGUACGGAACGAAAAGCCUUCUUUUAAUACAGGAGGGUCAUGACGGUACCGUAAGAAUAAGCACCGGCUAACUACGUG